rnacentral:rRNA from 1 species
GUUGGCGGCCACAGCGGCGGGGAAAUACCCGGUCCCGUCCGAUCCCGGAAGUCAAGCCCGCCAGCGAUUUGGGCUGUACUGCCGUGCGAGAGCCGGCGGGAACCCCAAGACGCUGCCAACC